ACUGCUCCCCAGGCGCUGUACAGUGGCUGCCCACUGCUCCUGAUUAAAAUGUAGAGAAUGAAUUUGACAUGCAUUAUACUGUGUGUAAUGGUGUGUGUGUGUGUUUGUCCUGAAGUGUGUUUUGGUUACUCCAAACAAUAAGUUGCUAUUUGUGAACAUCAUCGGUACCAUCUGCCAGAGAUUGCGUCACCUGACAUUGAAGACCAGCCGAUAGCAAUUUGACACUUCAGUAUCUGCUUUUAACUUAUUAGAUUUCUGGCCACACACAGAUUUGAUCUUGGGGUUUUGUUACUCUUUAAAAACAUUCACUUUUCAUUCAAUUGCAAUUCACCUGGCGACAGGCUGGUUUGUGGGGCCCUCCCAGUUCCAACAUUUCGCCUGUGUGUCCUUGAGCAAGGACACCGUUCAAGUGUAUUAAUGCAAGCAUUCACCAGGGAUACUGUUAAACUAGCAGAAAUUAGCAUAAUAUAAUACUGGUAGCCCUCUAUUUGACGAUCUAUCCUCUAUUUUAUUUUAUUUUUUUCACUUUUCUCUCCAUCAAGCUCAGACACAUCAGCUACGAGCUCAAGGAUCACGUGGCUGUUAUACGACUCAGUGAUUCAACAGACAAAGUGUGUGCGUGUAGCCGUGUGGGUGUGUGUUUAUGGAAGAAAGAAUGAGACGGUAAAUGUCAGAGAGAGAGAGAGGGAGAGAUUAUGUUUGUGACAGUCUUGACUACCUGUCUCUGUCUCAGUCUCUCACUGACAGAUGCGACAUGAUUAAUCAGAAUGUGUGCAUGUGUUUGUGUGUAGGUGAACACACUGUCGUUGCAGAUGCAGUCUGAGCUGAUGGAGGUGAUGGGGGAGAGAUCUGGUCGAACGGAGCAGUGAACAGUGCCAUCUUCAUCUCCAGCAAGUCUGGCUGCUUCAUCGCUGGGGCAGAUAUGAACAAACUGGGGCUUGUAAAUUGGGAUCUAAUCCUGUGAGAGCAGUGAGGAGGCCACCCAUCUCUCUCAGGAACGUCAGAAGAUUGAGAAAGCUUCCAUCUCUAUUGUUGCUGCCAUCUAUGGCUCUCAAGGUGGGUCUCCCCGGAGCGUCUGACAUGAUGCUGACAGGCAGGAACAUCAGGGCGGAUAAAGCCACGAAGAUAGGUCUAGUGCACCAGCUUGUGGACCCUCUGGGUCCUGGUGUGAAGCCUGCAGAGGCAAGCACUAUUGAAUACCUUGAGGAGGUUGCUGUGCGCGCGUGGCCAAGGGAUCCAAUAAGAAGGUUCCCUUUACAAAGGAGCAACAGCCUCA